GACGAACGCUGGCGGCGUGCUUAACACAUGCAAGUCGAACGGAAAGGCCCUGCUUUUGUGGGGUGCUCGAGUGGCGAACGGGUGAGUAACACGUGAGUAACCUGCCCUUGACUUUGGGAUAACUUCAGGAAACUGGGGCUAAUACCGGAGAGGAGCUCCUGCUGCAUGGUGGGGUUUGGAAAAUUGCGGGGUUGGGGGUGGACUUGCGGCUUAUCAGGCUGCUGGUGGGGGUGUGGAUUACCAAGGCUUUGAAGGGUAGCCGGCCUUAGAGGGUGACCGGCCACAUUGGGACUGAGAUACGGCCCAGACUCCUAUGGGAGGCAGCAGUGGGGAAUAUUGCACAAUGGGCGGAAGCCUGAUGCAGCAACGCCGCGUGCGGGAUGACGUCCUUCGGGUUGUAAACCGCUUUCGCCUGUGACGAAGCGUGAGUGACGGUAAUGGGUAAAGAAGCACCGGCUAACUACGUG
rnacentral:rRNA from 1 species